rnacentral:rRNA from 1 species
GAGUUUGAUCAUGGCUCAGGACGAACGCUGGCGGCAUGCCUAAUACAUGCAAGUCGAGCGGGAUGACGAGAGCUUGCUCUCUGAUUUUAGCGGCGGACGGGUGAGUAACACGUGGGCAACCUGCCCUACAGAUGGGGAUAACUCCGGGAAACCGGGGCUAAUACCGAAUAAUCAGUUUGUCCGCAUGGGCAAACACUGAAAGACGGUUUCGGCUGUCACUGUAGGAUGGGCCCGCGGCGCAUUAGCUAGUUGGUGGGGUAAUGGCCUACCAAGGCAACGAUGCGUAGCCGACCUGAGAGGGUGAUCGGCCACACUGGGGCUGAGACACGGCCCAGACUCCUACGGGAGGCAGCAGUAGGGAAUCUUCCACAAUGGACGGAAGUCUGAUGGAGCAAUGCCGCGUGAGCGAAGAAGGUUUUCGGAUCGUAAAGCUCUGUUGUAAGGGAAGAACACGUACGGGAGUAACUGCCCGUGCCAUGACGGUACCUUAUUAGAAAGCCACGGCUAACUACGUGCCAGCAGCCGCGGUAAUACGUAGGUGGCAAGCGUUGUCCGGAAUUAUUGGGCGUAAAGCGCGCGCAGGCGGUUCUUUAAGUCUGAUGUGAAAGCCCACGGUCAACCGUGGAGGGUCCUUGGAAACUGGAGGAACUUGGAGUACAGAAGAGGGAAACGCGGAAU